rnacentral:rRNA from 1 species
AUUGAACGCUGGCGGAAUGCUUUACACAUGCAAGUCGAACGGCAGCACGGGUGCUUGCACCUGGUGGCGAGUGGCGAACAGGUGAGUAAUGUAUCGGAACGUGCCCAGUCGUGGGGGAUAACGUAGCGAAAGCUACGCUAAUACCGCAUACGAUCUAUGGAUGAAAGCGGGGGAUCGUAAGACCUCGCGCGAUUGGAGCGGCCGAUAUCAGAUUAGGUAGUUGGUGGGGUAAAGGCCCACCAAGCCUGCGAUCUGUAGCUGGUCUGAGAGGACGACCAGCCACACUGGAACUGAGACACGGUCCAGACUCCUACGGGAGGCAGCAGUGGGGAAUUUUGGACAAUGGGCGCAAGCCUGAUCCAGCAAUGCCGCGUGCAGGAUGAAGGCCUUCGGGUUGUAAACUGCUUUUGUACGGAACGAAACGGCUCUUUCUAAUACAGAGAGCUAAUGACGGUACCGUAAGAAUAAGCACCGGCUAACUACGUGCCAGCCGCCGCGGUAACAC